UGAGGAGAUGCGUAGCAGCUGGCUACGGAAGGAGAACAGCUGGAAAGAGGAGCAGGAAAGGCAUCUCAUGGACCAACUGAUGCAUUCACGUGAGCAGCUGAACAAAAGUGAGCAGGAAAAGGAUAACCAAAGAAAGGCCUUUGAGGCAGAAAUGGCAGAACUCCAGGCCAGGUUUGAGGAGGAGAUACAGGUACUAGCUGGUGAGCUGACAGAGAAGGAUGUAACCAUCAGUUUGUUGAGAACAGCUUAUCACCAGACACAAGAGCAACUGGAU